rnacentral:rRNA from 1 species
CCUACGGGAGGCAGCAGUGAGGAAUAUUGGUCAAUGGGCGGAAGCCUGAACCAGCCAAGUAGCGUGCGGGAUGAAGGCCCUACGGGUCGUAAACCGCUUUUGCACGGGGAUAACACCCUCCACUUGUGGAGGUCUGCAGCUACCGUGCGAGUCAGGGCCGGCUAAUUCCGUGCCAGCAGCCGGGGUAAUACGGGAGGGCCGAGGGUUAUCCGGUUUGGUUGGGGUUAAAGGGAAGGUAGGGGGGCGUUCAAGUCAACGGUAAAAUCGAGCGGGUCAACCGAGCCCCGAAGUUGAAACUGGGAGACUUGAGUGCAGAAGAGGCAGGCGGAAUUCGAGGUGUAGCGGUGAAAUGCAUAGAUAUCACGAGGAACCCCGAUGGCGAAGGCAGCCCUCCGGUGUGCGACUGACGCUGAGGUUCGAAGGUGUGGGUAUCAAACAGGAUUAGAUACCCUUGUAGUC